rnacentral:rRNA from 1 species
AGAGCGAACGCUGGCGGCAGGCCUAACACAUGCAAGUCGAGCGCCCGUAGCAAUACGGGAGCGGCAGACGGGAUAGUAACACGUGGGAACGCGCCCUUCGGUUCGGAAUAACUCAGGGAAACUUGAGCUAAUACCGGAUACGCCCUUACGGGGAAAGAUUUAUUGCCGAAGGAACGGCCCGCGUCCGAUUAGCUAGUUGGUGAGGUAAUGGCUCACCAAGGCGACGAUCGGUAGCUGGUCUGAGAGGACGAUCAGCCACACUGGGAUUGAGAACGGCCCAGACUCCUACGGGGGGCAGCAGUGAGGAAUUUUCCGCAAUGGGCGCAAGCCUGACGGAGCAACGCCGCGUGCAGGAAGACGGUUUCGGAUCGUAAACUGCUUUUCGUCGGGGACGAGAACGGACGGUACCCGAGGAAUCGAGCCCCGGCUAACUACGUGCCAGCAGCCGAC